AGGCGCCCGCGGGCAGCCCGGCGGCUCUGGCUGAGUUUGAGCAGCGAGCGAGCAACGGCGCCGGAGGGGAGUCGCCUUUUCGCAGGAUGCCCUCUUCAGACACGGAGUGCGGUUCACAGAGUACCCAAGCAGCGUGGGACAGCUCGGGAUGAGCGAUGGGCAGGCCCGCCGGGUUGGGUUGGCUUUUGAAGACCUUGGUGGACACAGCUGGACCGAGUGCGGGUGUUUGUAGCAGUUUACUUCCGAGCGGAUCUCUCACUCUGUCCCUUUCAUCACACCGGCUCCAAAAGGUUGAGCUCGGAGGCGCGCGCGACAGUCAAGGAGUCACAUUCCAGGGCCUAGCCCGAGGUGGCCAAACGUGAGCAGUUGGGAAAGAGGCGGGAAUUUCGAGUUGGAGGCGACCUUCAAGACUUGCUUAAGUGUACACCUGCUAAAUAGGUUGUGCAGGCUGGGAUGUAAAGAAAGCUCAGUUUCAGAACUUCACACCUUACAAAACAAGUCAAAACUACCUCUCAUUACUUAAGUGGUCCGCUAUCUAAAACUUUCAGGGCAACGUAAAGGGACAGUUCAAAAUUUGUUGUCCAUAUACAAAGCCCUGGGUCCAUCCCACCACAAAAGUGGUGCAUUUGGUGGCAAAAGGCCCGUCUUUGAUUUUGACUUUGUACUUACUUUCUUGUAUAAUUUUAUGAAUAUUGUACUUAGUAGCUAGAACACAAGCCUGCCGUAUAGUCCCUGGCUUUAAAUCACAGCCCAUGCAUGUAAAUCUUAGCCCUUGGGAAGCAGAGACAGAAGGAGCUCCAGCCUGGUGGAUUUACGUGGCAAAUUUCAAACCAGGACUAAAUAGACAGACCCUAACUUUAAAUUUAUUCAGACGUCUAGGAAACAUGAAUUAUAUGUUGUCUUUUUGUUUCCUUUUUCACCUUCCCUCGGGGUUCCUUCUAGUACAGCUGUUAGACCAAGUCAUUUCUUAAGUCUGUUGGAGAAACUUUACAACACACACCAAUGUGUAACACUGCCCCCCCAGGGUAAGCCAAAGGGACAAUUCAAAAGUUGAUGUCUGCAAUGAGAAAAUAAAUCACUUAAAUGAAUCGAUAGUAGAAUUUCCUUCACAAAUCCAAUUCUUCAUUGUCAUCAAAAUUGAUAGGUGCAGUACAAAUUGAGUUAUAUAUAAAAAGAGAGAGAGAGAGAGAUAUGAAGUUAGGAAAAGGAUAUUCCAGUGGGGGAGUCCAGGAGCUGUUGUAAGAAAGCCUGGAGUGGAUAAGAUCUAUAUACAAUGUAUAGAUACAUGUAUGACACUCUCAAAGGAUACAACUUUAAAGAUUGAAGGAAGAUCUUUCAGCUGGCAGAUCAUUAAAACUGGUUGUAGAUCAACUCAUGACCCUUUGGAUGCUCCUGAAAGAAGAAUAUUAAAACUAAGUUGUCUUACUAUCUAUCACUCAACUUCUAUUCCAUCUGUAACAGGUAUUUAUGACUGUAUAGCACGGUACACUUUAGAAGGUUAAAGCAGUACACCUACUGUUCCUGCGGUGUCCAGGCACUGGUCCUCUACAGAAGCAAGACCCCCCCCCCCCCAGGAAAGAAGACUCAUUCCCUCACACAGGUGUCGUCAGCAUCCACUGCCCGGAGACCACAGGGCUGGAGGUCUCAGUCUCUUGCUGCCUGUCAGCUAGAGGUCCUCCCAGGGACUCUACAACAGUGGUUCUCGGUCUAUGGGCCAUGACCCCUUUGAGGGUCUACCCACCUUUCACAGGGGUCGCAUAUCAGAUAUUAUGCACAUUAGAUAUUUAUAUUAGAUAUUUAUAUUACAAUUCAUAACCUCAAAAUUACAGUUAUGAAAUAGCAACAAAAGUAACUCUGUGAUGGUGGGGGGGGGGGUGACCACAACAUGAAACCCCCUAUUAAAGGUUUGCCGCAGUACGAAGGUUGGGAAACACUGCUGCAGAAGAAGUUUCAGUAUGGUGGCUUGCUUCUUCAGAGCCAGCUAAGAUAGGCGCUGCAUUAAGGUUAUAUCAUUAUUAUGUUUUUCUCUCUUGCCCUCAGAAGUCCUGUGUGUGUGUGUGUGUGUGUGUGUGUGUGUUCCUACCUGGUGUGUACAUGUGUGUAUAUCAGUGCAUGGAUGUCUGAAAGUCAGAAACCAACGUCAGGUGUCUUCCUCUGUCAAACUCCACAUUAUUAUUGUUUUGAGAUAGGGUCUGUCACUGAACCUGGAGUUCAGAGAUUUGUCUAGACUAAUUGUCUAGUGAGCUCUAAGAAUCCUCUUAGCUCUGCCUCCCCGGUGCUAGGAUCACAGAUGUGCGCCCCCACACGUGGAGUGCUGAGCAUGGAGCCCUUCAUGCUGAGUGACAAGUACUGGAGCUUUAAUACGAGUGCUGAGCACUGAGCCCAGAUCCCCAUGCUGAGUCUAAGUACUUUACCAACGGAGCUGCCUCCACAGCCUCAUCAUUAUCUCUCUUUUAAAGAGAUGUGACCAAAGCUGACCCAAACUCCUGGCCUCAAGGGAUCCUCCUGCCUCAGCCUCCUUAGAGUAGGGACCACUAACACCUGCCUUGGCCAUGGUCUUAUGCGACAUAAUCUCAUGCGCAGACUUGUAUGGGACCUAAAAAAGGAAGCACUGACUGCAUUUGUAAAGGGGAAAGGACCACAGGGCAUGAACACAGGGCGGUGAGGGCCCUGUGGGAUGAGGACCAUGUGAUCUAGGAAUCCUUAGCUCUUCCUCACAUUGCCCUUCUGGCACCCUCUGCUUGUUUGCUGAAGGGGAACUUGACUAUCCCCUGGGGCACUGCUCUCCCUCUCUCAAGCAGUGGGAAGUGUAUUUUCUACCAUGAGCUCCUUACACUCUAUCUUCCCCGGGGAUGAGUCUUUUAAGUGGCCAUUCAAUACUGAGUGAUCAGUCCUGAUAUCAUAUACACUCAAGUAACAUUAAAUGGGCUGAUCAAGUUGAUUUUAUUUAUUUAGGUAUAUGUCAUAUAUUAUUUAUUUAGGUACAUAUAUUAUAUGUGUGUAUAUAUACAUAUAUGUGUAUAAUGUAUAUGUGUAUGUAUAAUUUAUGUAUAUAUUAUUUGCAUCCUAUAUGUGUGUAUGUAUAUAUAUAUAUAUAUAUAUACACGUAUAUGUAUAUGUAUAUAUAUAUAUAUAUAUAAAACACAAAAGCAUGCCAUGAAUUCUAGAGGGACAAAGAAAGGGCAUGUGAGAACAGUUGAAAGGAGAAAAAAGAAGGGAAAAUGAUGUAACUAUAUUUUAAAAAAAAUUUUUUUUAAAUAAACCAUCCAAGUUUCCACUU